rnacentral:rRNA from 1 species
GUCUGAACUCAGAUCACGUAAGAUUUUAAAAGUCGAACAGACUUAAAAUUUAAACGGCUGCAUCUAAAAUUAUAUCUUAAUCCAACAUCGAGGUCGCAAUCUUUUUUAUCGAUAUGAACUCUCCAAAAAAAUUACGCUGUUAUCCCUAAAGUAACUUAAAUUUUUAAUCAUUAAAAAUGGAUCAAUUAUUCAUAAAUCAAUGAUUUUAAUAAUAAAAGUUCAUUAAAUUUUAAUAUCACCCCAAUAAAAUAUAUCUAAAUUAUAAAAAUAAAAUUUAUCUAUAAAAUUUAAAUAAUCGAUAUAUAAAGAUUUAUAGGGUCUUCUCGUCUUUUAAAUAAAUUUUAGCUUUUUGACUAAAAAAUAAAAUUCUAUUAUAAAUUCAAUUGAAACAGUUAAUAUUUCGUCCAACCAUUCAUUCCAGCCUCCAAUUAAAAGACUAAUGAUUAUGCUACCUUUGCACAGUUAAAAUACUGCGGCCAUUUAAAUACUCAGUGGGCAGGUUAGACUUUCAAUUUAAAUUCUA